CGCUGGCGGCGUGCCUAAUACAUGCAAGUAGAACGCUGAGGAUUGGUGCUUGCACUAAUCCAAAGAGUUGCGAACGGGUGAGUAACGCGUAGGUAACCUACCUCAUAGCGGGGGAUAACUAUUGGAAACGAUAGCUAAUACCGCAUGAUACUAGAGUACACAUGUACCCAAGUUAAAAGGAGCAAUUGCUUCACUAUGAGAUGGACCUGCGUUGUAUUAGCUAGUUGGUGAGGUAACGGCUCACCAAGGCGACGAUACAUAGCCGACCUGAGAGGGUGAUCGGCCACACUGGGACUGAGACACGGCCCAGACUCCUACGGGAGGCAGCAGUAGGGAAUCUUCGGCAAUGGACGGAAGUCUGACCGAGCAACGCCGCGUGAGUGAAGAAGGUUUUCGGAUCGUAAAGCUCUGUUGUUAGAGAAGAACGGUAAUGGGAGUGGAAAAUCCAUUACGUGACGGUAACUAACCAGAAAGG
rnacentral:rRNA from 1 species